CCCUGUUUGACCUCUAGGUUUUAUGGGUAUUAUGACUCAUACUGUGGUACUCUAUAGUCCACUCAGUAACAGUUGUCACUACUCUCUAGGACAGGGCUCUCCAAACUUGUUCCUGGAGCGGUACCCUUCUGUAGGUCUUCGCUCCAACCCCAGUUGUAACUAACCUGAUUCAGCUUAUCAACCAGCUAAUUAUUAGAAUCAGGUGUGCUAGAUUAGGGUGGCUGCAGCUGUGAGGUGGAACUGACUCUAGUCAACCUGUUUGAAAAUGAUCAGGACACCGCAAGUGCCCUUGAAAGCCAUCAACCGAAAAUCAGUAUGUGCUUACACUUUACGAGCUGCGGCGUUGCAUUUUACUCCGGGUUUGCUCCGAUUUCCUCUGACUUCCUCUGAAAUACGCCAGGAGCUGAUCAAGAGCCCAUAGAUCGGGUUAGAAAUGUGCAGUGUCCGCCUGUCUUUAGAAGUAGGCCUUAUAUUACAAUUGGAAACUAAUGCCGCGUUCACGUCAUGUCGGAUUGAUCUGAGGAACAACUUGGAGUGCUCGGAAGGAAUACAAGCACCAUUCUCACCAUUGACAGCCGAAAUCGCGGCCAUGUUUGUUGCCAUUUGCAGUGGUGCGUAACGUCAGAGUUCAGAAUGUGGGUCCAGAGAUCAUACCCGAGUUUCCUAGUUGUAAUUACGAGUUGGGGUGUUCACAUGCAUUUUUCCCAGUAGGAAGGUCGUAUUUAUGAGUUCCGGACAUGAUGUGAACGCGGCAUAAGAUGCCUGCUCCUUUAUAGGAGACUCAACUGUAGCACCACCAUGCUCAGAGACAGUUUCUACUGUCAAGCCAUGAAAGGUUCUACAUGGUCAAUCGGACGUCUGAAGUGGCCGUACAGCAUUUACUGCGAUGCAGCCUCCACAGACGUCAGGGCUUUCAUACUUCUUGCGCUUAGCAGAGCUAUUGUGAAGGAAGUUGUCAAGGAAGUGAGUUUGUGUUUAUACAAGACGUACCGCCCCAUCCUACCGUCAACCAAUCAUGUCAAUGCGGAACUAUACGGCGCCCUCUGCAUUGUUGCAAAAUUUGAGAGUCACACGCCAAUGCGGUAUGGAGCAUGAUUUGGCCUCUGCACGCCUCCGGAGGCUCUGCAACUGUGUCACACCCUCCAUACGUAGCCUCCGAUCACAUUUUCAGAUCAAGCAUACAUUUGCGUUUAGACUGUUGAAUAGAUUACACAUGACUCUAUGCUGCUAUGGUACUUACUGCACUGUACUUAAUAUAGUGUAGUUAUCUACUUAUUUCUUAUUGCACACUACACUGUAUUCCUGCACAAAUGACAACUUUUGAUUUUGAUUUCAUUUGAUCUAGUUUACUGUAAACCUGUUCACUUUGUUAUGAUGAGACAUGCAUCUCACUAACAUUGGAUGUAUUGUUUAGCAAUGCAAUAUAAGAAAUGGAAUGUCCUCAUUUCAGGAAGAGCUCAUGACGUCGGGCUGCAGUUCUGCAGCUUUGAGCUGGAACCUGUCACCCUGAUCCGCCACAGACUCUGGCCUGCCACCGCCCAUCAGCUGCAAACGGAAGUUUCAGUGGACCUCCUGCGCCAGUUUGCAGCCCUGCAGAUGGAGUGUGGGGUGUCUUUCAGGGGGAUUACCGUAGCUUUCCACAAAGCCAAUUCAUGCUGGAAGGCAGUUCUUGUAUUUUAAAUUGGAAAUCAAACCAUAUACAAUGUAAGUGUUUUCUAUAAGGAGUAGUUUUUCAUUCUCCAGACAGUUGAGCUCUACAGGAAGCUCACAAAUGAUUCAUUUGAGGAGUUCAAACACUUGCAGUUUGAACGAGAGACUGUCAGGAAGUUGGUACCACAGACCUCUGAUGGAAUAAAGGGACAAUCUCAAUUGCAUCCUCUUUAACCUGUCUGCUCCCCUUCAUCUACACUGAUUGAAGUGGAUUUAACAAGUGACAUCAAUAAGGGAUCAUAGCUUUCACCUGGUCAGUUGAUGUCAUGGAAAGAGCAGGUGUUCCUAAUGUUUUGUACAGUCAGUGUAUAAAGUCUCAGUAAGCUAAGAUUCUUAUUUGUCCUAAAAUAUUAUGAAUUCAAUGUUGUUCACAAUUGAUAAGGGAAAAUAUUUAGUCAUUUAGCGACAGUCUCUCAUCCAGUGCGACUUACAAUUAGUGCUUUCAUCUUAAAUGGACAUUUCAAAAAAGGUCUACUUCAUAUUCAUCAUCUCCAUCACCACCCCAACAUCAGUGUAUGUGAAAAUGGUGUGUUUCUAUGUUUUGUAGUUAAAAAGAUAAAGAUAAGCUUUUCCAAUGACAUCAUCAACCAAUUAGUAGGCAAUGCCUACUCACAAUUGGUCAAAAUCACACAAUGCACACUGAUGAUGUCCCUUUAAGAUAGCCAGGUGAGACAACCACAUAUCACAGUCAUAGUAAGUCGUAGUCAUUUUCCCUCAAAGUAGUUGGUUGGCUUUUUUAUCUAUCUUAUAUCAUUGCCUUGCCAAACAGUUGUAAUUUUAUGCUUCAAUACAAGCCGCUCAAAAAUCCAACCCCUCGUCCAUGACCUGGGAGGCGGAAACAGGUAAUGUACUGGAUUGCCAGACACUGUAUCACAAAUUGUUUUGUAUAAUUAAUUAUUUGCAUUUUUGUUUGAAAGGAAAACGGUCAUCAAAUUAUUGCAGCUGUUGGGCUCGCCAGGAAAAGAUUGUCUGGGACCAGCAUUGAGGUUCCCAAACAUGUGGGCGGUUCUUUUGUGACCAGGACAAAGUCAACUGCUUUGUAGGAGGAGCACCAGGCACCAACUGAGGUCACCGAUGGUACCAGGUAUGUGACUGGUAGCAGGCUUGCUGAUGACACAUCUCGUCGUGUUGACACCCUCACUGAUGCCCUCCUCUAUUACGCAGCCAGGGUCAAGGCAAGUCUGCUGACCAUCACCGAGGCCAGGAAGCAGUCCGGCAGCCGAAGUAGGAGCCAAGUUCAUCGCCAUGCAACACUCUACUGACUGAGAUGCCACGUGGUCUCCCAUCUCCUACAUAGUGGCCUCAGCUGGACCCCACCGCAUAACCUCUUGGUUUAGCAAGAAAACUCAAGAUGAUGGAGAGGAAGAACAGCAUCCUCCACCAGCAGUCGCUGCAGAGUAACAGAUUGAGGACCAAUCUGGAGGGAACCUUCAGUCUGGUGCUAGAACGGAGGUUCCUCUGUGGCCUGAUGAGAAAAUAUGCAGAUUGUAUUCAACAAUAAGAACAAGUCAACUCAUAUCAGUUCUAUGAUAUUUCUGGCAAUAGAUGGUCAAGGUAUUGCCAACCGCCUGUCCAAAAGGCAUGCAACGGUCGGUAGUAGCAUAAAGAAAAAUGUGAAGGACUACAACCUGAGGAGACAAGGUUUGUCCUCACAGCUCCCACAGACCCUGGUGUAUGAGGAUGCAGUGCAGGUGGACAUCACUGUUUGGUCCUGGAGAGAAGGAGGAGCAGAGGAUGAUGGGAGUUUCACCUCAAGGCUCUUUGUGCUCCAUUCCCUCAGAGAGCGGGUGUGUGAAGAGAAGCGGUACAUUGAGGAUGAUGUCUUCACUGCCAAGAAGUUCUACUUACAUGAGCAGGAACUGAUUGUGGAGGCCUUACAACAUUACACAAAGCAAGAUCGAUUUUGUCUUGGGGCACGAGCUGUCCUUGCUGGAAAGCUUGAUGAGCACCAGCAUGCAGAAGGACAAUGUGAAUUGUUCAGAAGGGCUUUUAUUGAGGGCAGUGGCAGAAACUUUGAAGUGCAGGACAUCGAGGAAGUCUAUUUGUUGUUUGUUUCUUGUUUUUUUUAACAUGUCCAUUCAAUUUUUAUUUAUGCCAUUGUAUUCCUGCCCUUUGUUUACAAUUGUAUGUUUUAUUGCUCUUUUGGGGUUAAAAGAAGCACUAUAUGCAUCUGUGGACAUUUCUGUUUAAUUGUUCGAUGCGAUACACACCAUCGUUGCAUGUCAUUUACUAUUUAUGUCAUGGUGAGGAGAACCAGACAUGAGCCUGGUAUACCCCAACCUGAGUCUAAUGGAAUAGACAGGUUUGCUUCGUCCAAAGUAUUGUCUUUUCAUUGACCUGUUAGUUGUGGAGUUUGU